GACGUGGGGGGCCAGCGUUGCUCGGAAUUACUGGGUGUAAAGGGUUCGUAGGCGGUGUGGCAAGUCGGGAGUGAAAUCUCUGGGCUUAACCCAGAGUCUGCUUCCGAAACUGCUGUGCUUGAGUGUGGGAGAGGCGCGUGGAAUUGCAGGUGUAGCGGUGAAAUGCGUAGAUAUCUGCAGGAACACCCGUGGCGAAAGCGGCGCGCUGGACCACUACUGACGCUGAGGAACGAAAGCUAGGGGAGCAAACAGG
rnacentral:rRNA from 1 species